AAACAAGGGCAGAGAGGGAAGCCAUGAGGUUUUGAGCAAUCUGUUCGCAUCCUUAACACAGAACCCACGAAUCAAUGUUUUUUCACUCUGUGCCAUGGUGAAUGAAACCAGUAAAGCACAGCGACGGCUCAUGUGUUCAUUAUGGAGAGGGUUUAGCGUGAUGUUUAUUCUCCAGUUCCCACACUGAGAAAUGGCAACAGUGGAGGAUGAAUGUCACAUAACAAGAAGAUAGAGGAAAAGAAGAAGCUUAUCGACUACGGGGUCUCCACGGACUACAAAGGCGGAUGCACGCAAAUUUUCAGGACUUAUGCAGAUCCAAAAUACACAUCAACUGAUACUAGAAGGAGCUGGACGAAGUGGCUGGGGAGAGGGAAGUCUGGGCUUCCCUGCUUAGGCUGCUGCCCCCGCGACCCCAAGCGGAACAAGAUGAAUGGAUGGAUGUUCAUACAGGAAAACAUUUUACGCAGGUACACAAUCAUAUUAUUAUUGUCUUAUUCUAGUCUUAAAUGGGAAAAAACAAUAGUAAAAAAUGGGAAUUGUUGUAACUAUUAAUAAUAAUAUUUAGUCACUUACAAUACACAGCUGACACAAUAUCUGUUUUUAGCAUUUGUUUUUAAAUAAUAAAUAUAAAUUUGACAUUUUAGUAAGCAGCCCUUGGUGGAAAAUGUUUAGACACCCCUGAACUAAAAUAUUAGAAGCUCUGUUUGUUGUUAUUCCUAACAUUGGUGGGACGGGUUUGGUUUUGGAAUUGGAUUGCAUUGUUGUGGUAUUGUUUUGUUGAUUGAUUAAUAAAAAAAUAAAAAUAAAAAAUAAAAAAAAAGCUCUCAAAAUAAAAAUAAAAUAUAAUUAAAUUAAAAUCUAAGUUUUUUUAGUUAAUUAAAAAUAAAAAUAAUACUAACCUAUUGAUUAAUAUAAAAAAUUACAACAACCAUAAUAAACAUUAUUAAAUGUGUAACUGAACAUUAAUAUUUUCAUUAGGGAUGUCCGAUAAUGGCUUUUUGCCGAUAUCCGAUAUUCCGAUAUUGUCCAACUCUUUAAUUACCGAUACCGAUAUCAACCGAUACCGAUAUCAACCGAUAUAUGCAGUCGUGGAAUUAACACAUUAUUAUGCCUAAUUUGGACAACCAGGUAUGGUGAAGAUAAGGUGCUUUUUAAAAAAAUUUGUAAAAUAAGAUAAAUAAAUUAAAAACAUUUUCUUGAAUAAAAAAGAAAGUACAACAAUAUAAAAACAGUUACAUAGAAACUAGUAAUGAAUGAAAAUUAGUAAAAUUAACUGUUAAAGGUUAGUACUAUUAGUGGACCAGCAGCACGCACAAUCAUGUGUGCUUACGGACUGUAUCCCUUGCAGACUGUAUUGAUAUAUAUUGAUAUAUAAUGUAGGAAGCAGAAUCUUAAUAACAGAAAGAAACAACCCUUUUGUGUGAAUGAGUGUAAAUGGGGGAGGGAGGUUUUUUGGGUUGGUGCACUAAUUGUAAGUGUAUCUUGUGUUUUUUAUGUUGAUUUAAUUAAAAAAAAAAAAAAAACGAUACAGAUAAUAAAAAAAACGAUACAGAUAAUUUCCGAUAUUACAUUUUAACGCAUAUAUCUAAUUUUCAGACAGGCAAACUCGAUUGUGCAGUUACACAUUUUUAUUAAUAUUUUUAGUCUUCUUACAUGGGGAAAAAAAAAACAGUAAAAAUGUAAGAAAAAGAGCAAAAAAUGUUUUACCCAAUAAUAAUAAUAUACUUAGUCACUUAAAUCGGCAAAUGAUUCCCGGGCGCAGCCACCGCUGUUGCUCACUGCUCCCUUGAGGGGAUGGGUCAAAUGCAGAGGAUAAUUUCACCUCACCUAGUGUGUGUGACAGUACAAAGCUGACUGUUUUUAACAUUUAUUUCAAAUAAAAAAUGUCAAUAGCGCCCCGCAUACUUUGAUUUUUUUAGUAAGCGGUCCAUGGUGGAAAAAGUUUGGACGGUAUCGUUAUUUCCGUAUCCAUCCGUGCAUGCACUAGCAUCAAGUCCUUAGGUUAGAGACCCCCUCCGCCCCCUCCUUUUGGCCUGCGGGGGUGCUGACCAUGUGACCACACGUGCAGCUCCAUGUGUGUGUGUGUGUUGACACGCUGCAUGAAUAUUUCAGCAGACAUCGUCAACAUGGAGCUGCCACUCGGAGGAUAUCGAAAAUAUCAACAUUCUCUUUUCUAAUGAGCGAGAGAUGCUUUGUGGGAUUGCUCACAUCUGCGCAUCAAAGCAGGCUUCUAGCUGUGCACACACACACGCACACACACGCACACACACACACACACACACACACACGCACACAGGUGCAACACGUUCUAAUCAGGGCUUUCACUCGCUGCAGACUUUUCCUGUUUGAAAAGAUAUUGCUCACUCUGAGUGAAAUAUUAUUUUAUUGUCUUAACCUCCUUCAUCAACUGUUGACUAGCAGUCAUUGCUGGAAUACUCCAAUCUGCCAAUCAAAUUUCAUGUACCGUAUCUCCCCCGACUAUUAUGCGCAGCGGUAUAUAAGCCACGCCCACCAAAGUGUGGAAGAAAAUAAUAUUUUUCUAUAUAUAAGUCGCAGAUAUAUACGUUGUGAAAUUAGGUAUUUACUCAUAAAUAUUCUGUAAAUGUUUAUUUACAUACCUUGAUUGUUUCCAAACGGUGUCUGUAACAAGGCGGUAAAACGGCUGAUCAAACAAAACAGAAGUCAAGCUAGCUCUCCAAUCAGCUCAACAGACUCAAUAACUCCACGUUGACGUUUUGGCGAAUUUACAAAACUGAAACAAUACAAAAAGAAUGUCAUUGUAAGUUAAUAAUUACUAACACAGACACUUACUAACAACGCUAGCUUGAUUACAUUACAAUAGCACGUACAAAUAUGCAUGAAAACACUCCCACAGACAUCACACACGGAACGCUUUAGUAAGUAAAAAUUGUUUUAGUUAUAUUGUAAAACUUACAAACCUUGCUUGGCGUGAGGAUUUAAAAAUCGCUAUGGACGAUUAGAAGACUGAACGGCACUUGUACUUGUACUAGCUUCAUUACAUUACAAUAGCACGUACAAAUAUGCAUGAAAACACUCCUACAGACAUCGCACACGGGACGCUUUCGUAAGUAAGAAUUGUUUUAGUUAUAUUGUAAAACUUACAAACGUUGCCUGGCGUGAGGAUUUAAAAAUUGCUAUGGACGAUUAGAAGACCAAACGGCACUUGUACUUCCGGUUCAGAGCUUUAAGCCUGAGUUAUUUACACAGAAGUAAUUUAUAAAUGUUUAUUUACAUACCUUAAUUGUUUCCAAACCAUGUCUGUAACACGGCAGUAAAACGGCUGAUCAAACAAAACAGAAGUCUUGGUCAUGGACCCGCAAGCUGCGCAAGCUAGCUCUCCAAUCAACGAAACAGACUCAAUAACUCAACGGUGACGUUUUGGUGAAUUUACAAAACUGAAACAACACAAAAAGAAUGUCAUUGUAAGUAAUAAUACUAACACAGACACUCGUAAAUUAGCUAAUGCUAACGGCGCUAGCUUCAUUACAUUACAAUAGCACGUACAAAUAUGCAUGAAAACACUCCCACAGACAUCACACACGGGACGCUUUCGUAAGUAAGAACUGUUUUAGUUAUAUUGUAAAACUUACAAACGUUGCCUGGCGUGAGGAUUUAAAAAUUGCUAUGGACGAUUAGAAGACCAAACGGCACUUGUACUUCCGGUUCAGAGCUUUAAACCUGAGUUAUUUACACAGAAGUAUUUUGUAAAUGUUUAUUUACAUACCUUAAUUGUUUCCAAACCGUGUCUGUAACACAGCAGUAAAAUGGUUGAUCAAACAAAACAGAAGUCAUGGCCAUGGACCCGCUAGCUGCGCAAGCUAGCUCUCCAAUCAGCUAAACAGACUCAAUAACUCAACGGUGAAGUUUUGGUGAAAUUACUGAGGAAUUUGUGAAACUGAAACAAUACAAAAAGAAUGCAAAUGUAAGUUAAUAAUACUAACACAGACACCUGUGAACUUGUUGGCAUAUUAGCUAAUGCUAACAACGCUAAUUUGAUUACAUUACGAUAGCACUUACAAAUAUGCAUGAAAACACUCCUACAGACAUCACACACGGGACACUUUAGUAAGUAUGAAUUGUUUUAGUUAUAUUGUAAAACUUACAAACGUUGCUUGAAGCGACAAAUGAAGAAUCCAUACGAGUAGAAACGCUAUGGAGUAGUGAUGUACGAUACCACUGUUUUCUUUCCAAUUUGAUAUCAAGUUAAAGGCUGGUGUUGGCGAUACCGGUCUGAUACUUUAUGCAAACAUAGCUAAAAGGUCUGCUAAAAUUGAAAAAGUUGUAAGUUAAUAAUACUAACAAACACUUGUAAACCUGUUAGCAUAGUAGCUAAUGCUAACAACGCUAGUUUGAUUACAUUACGAUAGCACGUACAAAUAUGCAUGAAAACACUCCUACAGACAUCACACAUGGGACGCUUUGGUGAGUAAGAAUAGUUUUAGUUAUAUUGUAAAACGUGCAUUAGUAAGUAAGAAUAGUUUUAGUUAUAUUGUAAAAUGUAC